rnacentral:rRNA from 1 species
CCUACGGGAGGCAGCAGUAGGGAAUCUUCCACAAUGGACGAAAGUCUGAUGGAGCAACGCCGCGUGAGUGAAGAAGGGUUUCGGCUCGUAAAGCUCUGUUUGUAGGGAAGAAAGAUAGAGGUAGUAACUGGCCUUUAGUUGACGUUAAUUACUUAGAAAGUCACGGCUAACUCCGUGCCAGCAGCCGCGGUAAUACGUAGGUGGCAAGCGUUGUCCGGAUUUAUUGGGCGGAAAGGGAGUGCAGGCGGUCCAAUAAGUCUGAUGUGAAAGCCUUCGGCUCAACCGGAGAAUUGCAUCAGAAACUGUUGAACUUGAGUGGAGAAGAGGAGCGUGGAACGCGGUGUGUAGCGGUGGAAUGCGUAGAUAUAUGGCAGAACACCAGUGGCGAAGGCGGCUCACUGGU